rnacentral:tRNA from 1 species
GGACCGGUAGCUCAGCUGGAUAGAGCACAAACCUUCUAAGUUUGGGGUCAUUGGUUCGAAUCCAAUCCGGUUCACAA